AGUGAACGCUGGCGGCAGGCCUAACACAUGCAAGUCGAACGGCAGCACAGUAAGAGCUUGCUCUUACGGGUGGCGAGUGGCGGACGGGUGAGGAAUACAUCGGAAUCUACUUUUUCGUGGGGGAUAACGUAGGUAAACUUACGCUAAUACCGCAUACGACCUACGGGUGAAAGCAGGGGAACUUCGGACCUUGCGCGAGUGAAUGAGCCGAUGUCGGAUUAGCUAGUUGGCGGGGUAAAGGCCCACCAAGGCGACGAUCCGUAGCUGGUCUGAGAGGAUGAUCAGCCACACUGGAACUGAGACACGGUCCAGACUCCUACGGGAGGCAGCAGUGGGGAAUAUUGGACAAUGGGCGCAAGCCUGAUCCAGCCAUACCGCGUGGGUGAAGAAGGCCUUCGGGUUGUAAAGCCCUUUUGUUGGGAAAGAAAAGCAGCAGGUUAAUACCCCGCUGUUCUGACGGUACCCAAAGAAUAAGCACCGGCUAACUUCGUG
rnacentral:rRNA from 1 species